rnacentral:rRNA from 1 species
UACGGAGGGUGCAAGCGUUGUCCGGAUUUACUGGGUGUAAAGGGCGUGUAGGCGGAGGGAUGUGUCGGGAGUGAAAUCGUGCGGCUUAACCGUAUCAAUUGCUUCCGAAACUGUCCCCCUUGAAUGCCAGAGGGGCAGAUGGAAUUCCUGGUGUAGCGGUGGAAUGCGUAGAUAUCAGGAAGAACACCGGUGGCGAAGGCGAUCUGCUGGCUGGACAUUGACGCUGAGGCGCGAAAGUGCGGGGAGCAAACAGG